rnacentral:rRNA from 1 species
AGAGUUUGAUCCUGGCUCAGGACGAACGCUGGCGGCGUGCCUAAUACAUGCAAGUCGAGCGAGCGGAACUAACAGAUUUACUUCGGUAAUGACGUUAGGAAAGCGAGCGGCGGAUGGGUGAGUAACACGUGGGGAACCUGCCCCAUAGUCUGGGAUACCACUUGGAAACAGGCGCUAAUACCGGAUAAGAAAGCAGAUCGCAUGAUCAGCUUUUAAAAGGCGGCGUAAGCUGUCGCUAUGGGAUGGCCCCGCGGUGCAUUAGCUAGUUGGUAAGGUAAAGGCUUACCAAGGCGAUGAUGCAUAGCCGAGUUGAGAGACUGAUCGGCCACAUUGGGACUGAGACACGGCCCAAACUCCUACGGGAGGCAGCAGUAGGGAAUCUUCCACAAUGGACGCAAGUCUGAUGGAGCAACGCCGCGUGAGUGAAGAAGGUUUUCGGAUCGUAAAGCUCUGUUGUUGGUGAAGAAGGAUAGAGGUAGUAACUGGCCUUAUUUGACGGUAAUCAACCAGAAAAGUCACGGCUAACUACGUGCCACCGGCCGCGGGAAAUACGUGGGGGGGCAAGGGGUUGGCCCGAAUUUAUUGGGCGUAAGGGGGGCGCAGGGGGGAAAGAAUAAGUCUUGAUGUGAAAAGCCCCUCGGUUUAACCCGAGGAACUGGCAAUCGGAAAACUGGUUUUUCUUGAGUGCAGAAGAGGAGAGUGGAACUCCAUUGUAGCGGUGAAUGCGUAGAUAUAUGGAAGAAACCAGUGGCGAAGCGGCUCUCUGGUCUGCAACUGACGCUGAGGCUCGAAAGCAUGGGUAGCGAACAGGAUUAGAUACCCCUGGGUAGUCCAUGCCGUAAACGAUGAGUGCUAAAGUGUUGGGGAGGUUUCCCGCCCUCUCAGUGCUGC